GGGGCGAUGAGUAGCGGAACGCUGUAAGGCUAACCCAUUGAAGCGACAGGAAGAGAAUCCGACAUCGACAACGGUCUUGAAAACCGUUGACCCGCGAGGGUCCGAGGGUUCGAAUCCCUCCCUCUCCGCCA
rnacentral:tRNA from 1 species